AUCCCUGUAGCGCAAUGGAUAGCACAUUGGAGCUCUAAUCCAAAGAUAGUGGGUUCGAAUCCUACCUGGGAUG